rnacentral:lncRNA from 1 species
GAGAGCCAAAGAAGAGAGAGUACAGCUAGAGUGAAAGAAGAUCUUGAUUCAGCAAGGGUGGUAUAAAAGAGGAGAUCUGACAGUUAAAUGGGAGUGAAGAAAAAGCAUCAGGGAAGUUAGUAAGGUUGCAACAGGUAUUAACGAAGCAGGGAAGACCAGGGUCAGUUCGCAGGUCUGUGGUUUAACAAAGUAUUUAAAAUGGGAUUAUUUGGGGGUAUUUUAGACGCUUAGCUUUUAAACAUGUGGGCCUGAGCUGGUCGUUCUCAGCUCUCAUUAUAUCAACAAGGAGAAAUAAGCACUUCAAGGGUGAGAUUCUUCUGACCUAGUUUAGAUGUCUGUCUUUGCAGUGAGCCAAUAAUCUCACCCUAUGAGGUGGCUAGUUCAGAUCUAGCUGUCUGAAUAUUUGGUAUCUGUGUUAUGACAGCAAAUCCCUUUCAGUGUUAAAAGGUCAGAGAAGGGCAGAAGGUGAUGGACCAAGGAGAGGGGAUCAGGGCUAAAGGAAAUGCAUGAAGGACAGCUGCAGUUACAAGGCUGGUGGAAGAGAGAAACAACUUCAUUUCUAACUCAGCAUUGCUCUGUGCUCAGCAGGGAACCUGCGCUCAGGGAGCUGAACUUCUUAAGAAGAUAAAAUCUCAAUAAAUGUCAACCAUGCAAGCAGAUGUGACUGAAGGGCUGGGAAUUUCUGAGUCUGCGUAGAUGCACGUGCCUCAGAAGCAGUGUUACUUAAUACUGCAUAAGAGUGAAGUGACCUGUGAUUCUGACUCACUCAGUUUGAGAUGCUAUUAUGCUUCUGACACUGCUUUACAUAUUCAGUGUACGUGCAAAUAGGAUGAGGCCUGCACUUACACUCGACGAGCGGGAGUAAUACUGUCAUCAGUCUAACUGAGCAAUGUCUGGGUGAAUUGAUAGCGGAAAAUGCGGGGAACAUGCACUCAGAUUCAGAGUAGCUUCACCAGACAACUGUCUGCUGCUUGACUGACUAUUCAACAGCUCACCUGCUCUUGUGUUACAGACUGACUGGACUUGCACAGAAAGUGAGUUGGAAAGGGAAGUAUCUAAAACUUUUGGAGAUUUCUGCUUACUGUAAUAUUUUCAUGUAUUAGAAGAAAAGUAAAAUGGUUUGAUAAGAUAGAAUGGGAUUCUGUGCUGCUCUGUAUUAUAUAUUUUAUUUUCACAGGUUAACUCUGCUGUUUUCAUAUCUUAGGAAGAAGAUCUAAUUCUAUUUUAUUUAAAAAAUUAUGCAAUUCUUCUGAUAAUGCAAAUAGGUCUCACCUGAACUGGGAUUACAGUAGGUUCCUGUGAGGAUCUCAAAGUAGGCACAGAGAUCCCAAUGUAGAAAGUCAAUCUGAGGAAGAAAUACAGCAACUCAAAUCAGCCUGGCUUCAUUUUCUUUGUUUCAGGAUAAACUUCCCAAUAAACAGGAUUUAAUUUUUUUCA